UGUAUUGUAGUUUAAUUGGUCAGAGCAUCCCCUGCCCCUGGCGUAAGCUGCGGGUUCGAGCCCCGUUAAUCUCA
rnacentral:tRNA from 1 species